rnacentral:rRNA from 1 species
UGCAGUCGAGGGGUAACAGAGAAGCUUGCUUCUGCUGACGACCGGCGCACGGGUGCGUAACGCGUAUGCAACCUACCUCAUACUGGAGAAUAGCCCUUGGAAACGAGGAUUAAUACUCCAUGGUAUCAUUCUUUCGCAUGUUAGAAUGAUUAAAGAAUUUCGGUAUGAGAUGGGCAUGCGUCCCAUUAGCUUGUUGGUGAGGUAACGGCUCACCAAGGCAACGAUGGGUAGGGGGCCUGAGAGGGUGGUCCCCCACACUGGUACUGAGACACGGACCAGACUCCUACGGGAGGCAGCAGUGAGGAAUAUUGGUCAAUGGAGGCAACUCUGAACCAGCCAUGCCGCGUGAAGGAUGACGGCCCUAUGGGUUGUAAACUUCUUUUAUAUGGGAAGAAACUUAUCUACGUGUAGAUAACUGACGGUACCAUACGAAUAAGGAUCGGNNNNNUCCGUGCCAGCAGCCGCGGUAAUACGGAGGAUCCAAGCGUUAUCCGGAUUCAUUGGGUUUAAAGGGUCCGUAGGCGGAUUUUUAAGUCAGUGGUGAAAGCCGACAGCUCAACUGUCGAACUGCCAUUGAUACUGGAAAUCUUGAGUACAAAUGAAGUAGGCGGAAUGAGUCAUGUAGCGGUGAAAUGCAUAGAUAUGACUCAGAACACCGAUUGCGAAGGCAGCUUACUAACAUGUAACUGACGCUGAGGGACGAAAGCGUGGGGAGCGAACAGGAUUAGAUACCCUGGUAGUCCACGCCGUAAACGAUCAUCACUCGCUGUUGGCGAUAUACUGUCAGCGGCCAAGCGAAAGUAUUAAGUGAUGCACCUGGGGNNUACGCCGGCANCGGUGAAACUCAAAGG